rnacentral:rRNA from 1 species
GAUCCUGGCUCAAGAUGAACGCUAGCUACAGGCUUAACACAUGCAAGUCGAGGGGCAGCAUGAACUUAGCUUGCUAAGUUUGAUGGCGACCGGCGCACGGGUGAGUGACACGUAUCCAACCUGCCGAUGACUCGGGGAUAGCCUUUCGAAAGAAAGAUUAAUACCCGAUGGCAUAGUUCUUCCGCAUGGUAGAACUAUUAAAGGAUUUCGGUCAUCGAUGGGGAUGCGUUCCAUUAGG